AUUGAACGCUGGCGGCAGGCCUAACACAUGCGAGUCGAGCGGAUGAAGGGAGCUUGCUCCUGGAUUCAGCGGCGGACGGGUGAGUAAUGCCUAGGAAUCUGCCUGGUAGUGGGGGAUAACGUCCGGAAACGGGCGCUAAUACCGCAUACGUCCUGAGGGAGAAAGUGGGGGAUCUUCGGACCUCACGCUAUCAGAUGAGCCUAGGUCGGAUUAGCUAGUUGGUGGGGUAAAGGCCUACCAAGGCGACGAUCCGUAACUGGUCUGAGAGGAUGAUCAGUCACACUGGAACUGAGACACGGUCCAGACUCCUACGGGAGGCAGCAGUGGGGAAUAUUGGACAAUGGGCGAAAGCAUGAUCCAGCCAUGCCGCGUGUGUGAAGAAGGUCUUCGGAUUGUAAAGCACUUUAAGUUGGGAGGAAGGGCAGUAAGUUAAUACCUUGCUGUUUUGACGUUACCAACAGAAUAAGCACCGGCUAACUUCGUG
rnacentral:rRNA from 1 species